CGAAUCAUCGAAUCUUUGAACGCACAUUGCGCCCUCCGGCAUUCCGGGGGGCAUGCCUGUCCGAGCGU
rnacentral:rRNA from 1 species